rnacentral:rRNA from 1 species
GAUGAACGCUGGCGGCGUGCUUAACACAUGCAAGUCGAACGAAGCACUUUUUUGAAUUCACUUCGGGGAUGAAGAGAAAGUGACUUAGUGGCGGACGGGUGAGUAACGCGUGGGUAACCUGCCUUAUACAGGGGGAUAACAGCUGGAAACGGCUGCUAACACCGCAUAAGCGCACAGCAUCGCAUGAUGCAGUGUGAAAAUAUUUAUAGGUAUAAGAUGGACCCGCGUCUGAUUAGCUAGUUGGUGAGGUAACGGCCCACCAAGGCGACAAUCAGUAGCCGGCUUGAGAGAGUGAACGGCCACAUUGGGACAGAGACACGGCCCAAACUCCUACGGGAGGCAGCAGUGGGGAAUAUUGCACAAUGGGGGAAACCCUGAUGCAGCGACGCCGCGUGAGUGAAGAAGUAUUUCGGUAUGUAAAGCUCUAUCAGCAGGGACGAUAAUGACGGUACCUGACUAAGAAGCCCCGGCUAACUACGUGCCAGCAGCCGCCGUAAAAC